rnacentral:rRNA from 1 species
UACAGAGACCUCAAGCGUUAUCCGGAAUCAUUGGGCGUAAAGCGUACCGAUAGGUGGCUUACAAAGUCAGAAGUGAAAUCUCUCAGCUUAACUGGGAGAAUGUCUUUUGAAACUUGUGAGCUAGAGGGGCAAAGAGGAAGCUGGAACGAACGGUGUAGUAGUGAAAUGCGUUGAUAUCGUUCGGAACACCAAUAGCGUAGGCAGGCUUCUGGGUGCCACCUGACACUGCUAGGACGAAAGCGUGGGGAGCGAAUGGG